CAGGCCUAAACAUGCAAGUCGAACGGCAGCACGGGAGCUUGCUCCUGGUGGCGAGUGGGGACGGGUGAGUAACGCGUAGGAAUCUGCCUGGUAGUGGGGGACAACUUGGGAAACUCAAGCUAAUACCGCAUACGCCCUACGGGGGAAAGCGGAGGACUUCGGACUUCGCGCUAUCAGAUGAGCCUGCGUAGGAUUAGCUUGUUGGGGGGUAAAGGCUCACCAAGGCGACGAUCCUUAGCUGGUCUGAGAGGAUGUCAGCCACACUGGGACUGAGACACGGCCCAGACUCCUACGGGAGGCAGCGUGGGGAAUAUUGGACAAUGGGCGAAAGCCUGAUCCAGCAAUGCCGCGUUGUGAAGAAGGCCUGCGGGUUGUAAAGCACUUUCAGUAGCGAGGAAAAGUGAUGGUUAAUACCCAUUGGUCUUGACGUUAACUACAGAAGAAGCACCGCUAACUCCGUGCCAGCAGCCGCGGUAAU
rnacentral:rRNA from 1 species